rnacentral:rRNA from 1 species
UCUCAGUUCGGAUCGAAGUCUGCAACCCGACUUCGUGAAGCUGGAUUCGCUAGUAAUCGCGCAUCAGCCAUGGCGCGGUGAAUACGUUCCCGGGCCUUGUACACACCGCCCGUCAAGCCAUGAAAGCCGGGGGUACCUGAAGUACGUAACCGCAAGGAUCGUCCUAGGGUAAAACUGGUAAUUGGGGCUAAGUCGUAACAAGGUAUC